AACGAACGAAUCAACGUACGAACCAACGACGGAACUGUCGAAUGAAUUUACGUGAACGUAUUUACUAUUCUUACGUACGUAGGAAUAAAGCUCCCGUACGCGCUGUGUACCGGCUGAUUACUAUGGAGCCGACGAUGGGCGAAGGUAAAAGGACGAGAACGUCGAAAGCCGAACAUGUAUCUGUGUAUCUUUACGUGUGAACGCCAUACCGAA
rnacentral:lncRNA from 1 species